UAUAGCACAAAAUGGAUACUAUGUAGCCUAUGAUGGCUGGGGAAACAGGGAAGAGUGUGCGGCAGUGCGUGGGCGCGCAGGCGAGCGAAUGUGUGGUGCUGCAGGAGUUGAAGUUGCAGUCCUUCAUCAGAUAGACUUCUUGCACAGUGAGAGAUCUGCAGCAUGCUGGUGGAUUUCAAAGAGACCGGAGAAAGCUUCAUGUCGCUUCUAGACGAAUGAUGGAAUGAGCAGCGAAGGUUACUGAAGAAAACCUCGCAACACUAUUUAUAAAUUGCGGUCAGGU